AGCUCCAAUAGCGUAUAUUAAAGUUGUUGCAGUUAAAAAGCUCGUAGUUGGAUUUCGGAAGGUCCUUAGCAGUCCGCCCCUUCGGGGAGCGGGCUGCUGGCCUCCUAUGUUCCUAACGGUCCUCAUCCGCGAGGGUGGGGAAUCAACCGCUAGGAUCGUUUACUUUGAGGAAAUUAGAGUGUUCAAAGCAGGCGUAACUCGCCUCCGAAUACGUUAGCAUGGGAUAAUGGAAUACGACUUCGGUCUUGUUUCGUUGGUUUCGCUUGGCUGAAGUAAUGAUUGAUAGGGACAGUUGGGGGCAUUAGUAUUUAGUUGUCAGAGGUGAAAUUCUAGGAUUUACUAAAGACUGACCAAUGCGAAAGCAUUUGCCAAGGAUGUUUUCAUUAAUCAAGAACGAAAGUAGGGGGAUCGAAGACGAUCAGAUACCGUCGUAGUCUCUACCGUAAACUAUGCCGACCAGGGAUCCGGAGAGUUUGCAUGGAUGACUCCCCGGGCACCUUGUGAGAAAUCAUAAGUGUUUGGGUUUUGGGGGGAGUAUGGUCGCAAGGCUGAAACUUAAAGGAAUUGACGGAAGGGCACCACCAGGAGUGGAACCUGCG
rnacentral:rRNA from 1 species